rnacentral:misc_RNA from 1 species
UUGACGCUGGUAAACGCCCACGGAACCUACCGUUUGGUUCAUCCGGCAUUAGUGCCCGGCUGGCUCGAUAGGUUUCCCAACUCCAGGAUUCUACUAAACAGAGACUAUUACAAUUACCUCUACCGGAGGUUAAUUCUGCGGGAUCCAUACUGGCGUUCAAGAAUUCACCUUCAUAGGCACAUCUACCCCGCAGUCUUUCGAAGCCAGAGGGUCAAUAUAAAUCCCGUCCUCUUGAGAAGAAACGUUAGAGUCAUCGCUCCACAAGUCCAGCAGACGUCUGUCGUUGGUAUCCCGCCCCCUAUCCCACGGGACAAUCGUCAUCUAAUAGGAAAGGCGGAAACGUUUAUCCGAUACACCAGCCCAAGUCUUGACAAAUACAACACUCCUUGGCAAAAAAUAUCCUCUAGUUACCGAGACUACGGAGAAGCUACAUCCCCAGCUCUGUACAACCGACCCUUCUAUGGCGGUGGCAGUAUACCCUCUGGUUAUGACGACCAGGAGAUCUUUCCCGAUUCUGAUUAUGGAUACGGUCUUCAAGAAUCGGCAUAUUUAGGUGGCGGGGAUUUAGGCGGGGGUGAAAUCGGUGGUUCGCUUAGUCUAGGCGGAGCUCUAGGCGGAGGUGACCUGGGUGAAUUCGGUGGUUCGAUUGGUGUAGGCGGAGGUGGCCUAGGUUUAUCUGCUGGUGCAUCCAACUACGAAUAUGUCCAACCAAGACGGACGUUUUAAUUACUCAGAUUGACUAAUCAUCGAUUUGAGAAAAUGGAAAGUCCCCACUUUUCUGUACAAACAUGUAACCAAACACAAUUAAAAUAUGACAAA